UACGGGGGGGCAAGCGUUGUUCGGAAUUACUGGGCGUAAAGGGCUCGUAGGCGGCCAACUAAGUCAGACGUGAAAUCCCUCGGCUUAACCGGGGAACUGCGUCUGAUACUGGAUGGCUUGAAUCCGGGAGAGGGAUGCGGAAUUCCAGGUGUAGCGGUGAAAUGCGUAGAUAUCUGGAGGAACACCGGUGGCGAAGGCGGCAUCCUGGACCGGCAUUGACGCUGAGGAGCGAAAGCCAGGGGAGCAAACAGG
rnacentral:rRNA from 1 species